rnacentral:rRNA from 1 species
AACGAACGCUGGCGGCAUGCCUAACACAUGCAAGUCGAACGAGACCUUCGGGUCUAGUGGCGCACGGGUGCGUAACGCGUGGGAACCUGCCCUUAGGUUCGGAAUAACUCCCCGAAAGGGGUGCUAAUACCGGAUAAUGUCUUCGGACCAAAGAUUUAUCGCCUUUGGAGGGGCCCGCGUUGGAUUAGCUAGUUGGUAGGGUAAAAGCCUACCAAGGCGACGAUCCAUAGCUGGUCUGAGAGGAUGAUCAGCCACACUGGGACUGAGACACGGCCCAGACUCCUACGGGAGGCAGCAGUGGGGAAUAUUGGACAAUGGGCGAAAGCCUGAUCCAGCAAUGCCGCGUGAGUGAUGAAGGCCUUAGGGUUGUAAAGCUCUUUUACCCGGGAUGAUAAUGACAGUACCGGGAGAAUAAGCUCCGGCUAACUCCGUG